GCCCCCAUAGUUCAAUGGAUAGAAUAUCUCCGUCCUAAGGUGCAGAUCUGCGUUCGAAUCGCGGUGGGGGCACCA
rnacentral:tRNA from 1 species